rnacentral:rRNA from 1 species
AUUGAACGCUGGCGGAAUGCUUUACACAUGCAAGUCGAACGGUAGAGGGGGCAACCCCUCGAGAGUGGCGAACGGGUGAGUAAUAUAUCGGAACGUGCCCAGUCGUAGGGGAUAACGUAGCGAAAGUUACGCUAAUACCGCAUACGAUCUAAGGAUGAAAGCGGGGGAUCGCAAGACCUCGCGCGAUUGGAGCGGCCGAUAUCAGAUUAGGUAGUUGGUGGGGUAAAGGCUCACCAAGCCAACGAUCUGUAGCUGGUCUGAGAGGACGACCAGCCACACUGGAACUGAGACACGGACCAGACUCCUACGGGAGGCAGCAGUGGGGAAUUUUGGACAAUGGACGCAAGUCUGAUCCAGCCAUUCCGCGUGCAGGAUGAAGGCCCUCGGGUUGUAAACUGCUUUUGUACGGAACGAAAAGAUCUCUCUUAAUACGGGGGGCUCAUGACGGUACCGUAAGAAUAGGCACCGGCUAACUACGUGCCAGCAGCCGCAGUAA